UACGGGGGGGGGCAAGCGUUGUUCGGAAUUACUGGGCGUAAAGGGCGCGUAGGCGGCCUUGCUAAAGUCGGACGUGAAAUCCCCCCGGCUCAACCGGGGAACUGCGUCCGAAUACUGGUGGGCUCGAAUCCGGGAGAGGGACGUGGAAUUCCAGGUGUAAGCGGUGAAAUGCGUAGAUAUCUGGAGGAACACCGGUGGGCGAAGGCGGCAUCCUGGACCGGUAUUGACGCUGAGGCGGCGAAAGCCAGGGGGAGCAAACGGG
rnacentral:rRNA from 1 species